rnacentral:rRNA from 1 species
AUUGAACGCUGGCGGCAGGCCUAACACAUGCAAGUCGAACGAGUGGCGGACGGGUGAGUAAUGUCUGGGAAACUGCCUGAUGGAGGGGGAUAACCAGUGGAAACGGUAGCUAAUACCGCAUACCAUCAGAUGUGCCCAGAUGGGAUUGGCUAGUGGGUGGGGUAACGGCUCACAAACGAGACGAUCCCUAGCUGGUCUGAGAGGAUGACCAGCCACACGGGAACUGAGACACGGUCCAGAGUCCGACGGGAGGAAGCAGUGGGGAAUAUUGGACAAGGGGCGCAAGCCUGAUGCAGCCAUGCCGCGUGUAUGAAGAAGGCCUUCGGGUUGUAAAGUACUUUCAGCGGGGAGGCGUUACCCGCAGAAGAAGCACCGGCUAACUCCGUGCCAGCAGCCGCGGUAAUUC